AGUUCGAUUAAGCCAUGCAAGUCUACUCAUUCACCUGGAUGGGUGGCAUACGGCUGAGUAACACGUAGUCAAUCUGCCCUAAGGACGGGUAUAACCUCGGGAAACUGAGGCUAACUCCCGAUAGACGAUGAGAACUGGAAGGCCUCAUCAUCGAAAAGGCUGGUGAAUUGGAGCCAGUCCGCCAUAGGAUGAGACUGCGGCUGAUUAGGUAGUUGGUGAGGUAACGGCCCACCAAGCCGAUAAUCAGUAGGGGCCAUGGGAGUGGUGGCCCCCAGAAGGGUACUGAGACAAGGACCCUAGUCCUACGGGAUGCAGCAGGCGCGAAACCUCUGCAAUGCGCGAAAGCGUGACAGGGGAAGUCUGAGUGGCGGAAACUUAGUUUCCGUCUUUUGCCAAGUGUAAACAGCUUGGAGAAUAAGGGUGUGGGCAAGACUGGUGGCAGCCGCCGCGGUAACACCAGCGCCUCGAGUGGUACCCACGAAUAUUGGGCCUAAAGCGUCCGUAGCCGGACCUCUAAGUCCACUGUGAAAUGUUGGAGCUCAACUCUAACGCGUGCAGUGGAUACUGUUGGUCUUGGGAAUGGGGGAGGGUCGGAGUACUUCCAGGGUAGGGGUAAAAUCCGUUGAGCCUGGAAGGACUACCAGUGGCGAAGGCGCCGAUCCAAAACAUAUCCGACGGUGAGGGACGAAAGCUGGGGGAGCGAACGGGAUUAGAUACCCCGGUAGUCCCAGCUGUAAAUGAUGCAGACUGAGGUGUUGCCUGUGAGUAAUCACAGGCAGUGCUGUAGCGUAGGUGUUAAGUCUGCCGCCUGGGGAGUACGAUCGCAAGAUUUAAACUUAAAGGAAUUGGCGGGGGAGCACCACAAGCCGUGGAUGCUACGGUUU
rnacentral:rRNA from 1 species